rnacentral:rRNA from 1 species
UACGUAGGGGGCAAGCGUUGUCCGGAUUUAUUGGGCGUAAAGAGCGUGUAGGCGGUUUGGUAGGUCCGCUGUGAAAACUCGAGGCUCGACCUCGAGACGCCGGUGGAAACCAUCAGACUAGAGUCCGGAAGAGGAGAGUGGAAUUCCCGGUGUAGCGGUGAAAUGCGCAGAUAUCGGGAAGAACACCCGUGGCGAAGGCGGCUCUCUGGGACGGUACUGACACUGAGGCAUGAAAGCGUGGGGAGCAAACAGG